rfam:Bacillus sp. CAG:988 genomic scaffold, scf20
ACUUUGAGACAAACGCGGCAUCUAACCAUGAUGUUGAGGAAAGUCCAUGCUCACAAAGACUGGGAUGUCUUUCGUGUUUGUGCUGAGGGAAUCAAUAACCGAAGGUAGAGUAAUCUAACGGCGAGGAAUUAGCCUAAAGGAAACCAUGGCUAUAGUACUCAUAAAGUGCCACAGUGACGAUAUUCUCUAGAAAUGGAGAAAGUGAAACGUUGGUAAACCCCGCAAGUGAGAAAUCCAAAUUUGGUAGGAGAGUCGUAACAAAAGAAAGAUAAUGGCGUUACGGACCGGAAACGGUAGAUAAAUGUUUGUCGCCUAGAAAUAGGAACAGAACAUGGCUUACAA